UACGAAUGGGGCAAGCGUUGUUCGGAAUCACUGGGCUUAAAGCGUGCGUAGGCGGCUUUGAAUGUCAGGUGUGAAAUCCCAGGGCUUAACCCUGGAAUUGCUUUUGAAACUCCAUAGCUAGAAUCCGGGAGAGGUUAGCAGAAUUCCGAGUGUAGAGGUGAAAUUCGCAGAUAUUCGGAGGAAUACCAGUGGCGUAGGCGGCUAACUGGACCGGCAUUGACGCUGAGGUACGAAAGCGUGGGUAGCAAACAGG
rnacentral:rRNA from 1 species